UGGGGAAUAUUGCACAAUGGGCGCAAGCCUGAUGCAGCCAUGCCGCGUGUAUGAAGAAGGCCUUCGGGUUGUAAAGUACUUUCAGCGAGGAGGAAGGUGUUGUAGUUAAUAACUGCAGCAAUUGACGUUACUCGCAGAAGAAGCACCGGCUAACUCCGUGCCAGCAGCCGCGGUAAUACGGAGGGUGCAAGCGUUAAUCGGAAUUACUGGGCGUAAAGCGCACGCAGGCGGUCUGUCAAGUCGGAUGUGAAAUCCCCGGGCUCAACCUGGGAACUGCAUUCGAAACUGCAGGCUAGAGUCUUGUAGAGGGUGGAUUCAGAUUCAGCGUGAGUUGAAUGUAGAGAUCUGGAGGAAUACCGGUGGC
rnacentral:rRNA from 1 species